rnacentral:rRNA from 1 species
UACGGAAGGCAGCAGGGGGAAUAUUGCACAAUGGGCGCAAGCCUGAUGCAGCCAUGCCGCGUGUAUGAAAAAGGCCUUCGGGUUGUAAAGUACUUUCAGUCGUGAGGAAGGUGUUAAGGUUAAUAACCUUAGCAAUUGACGUUAGCGACAGAAGAAGCACCGGCUAACUCCGUGCCAGCAGCCGCGGUAAUACGGAGGGUGCGAGCGUUAAUCGGAAUUACUGGGCGUAAAGGGCACGCAGGCGGUUAAUUAAGUUGGAUGUGAAUCCCCGGGCUUAACCUGGGAAUGGCAUUCAAGACUGGUUAGCUAGAGUCUUGUAGAGGGGGUAGAAUUCCAUGUGUAGCGGUGAAAUGCGUAGAGAUGUGGAGGAAUACCGGUGGCGAAGGCGGCCCCUGGACAAAGACUGACGCUCAUGUGCGAAAGCGUGGGGAGCAAACAGGGAUUAGAUACC